AUUGCUGAUUAGAUUUCCUUGUGCGUUCAGUUAUUUUGUAAUAUUAUUAUUUAUAUAUCUACGUCUAUUGAAUUGUGCGUUGUACUAUUAAUAUGGUUUUUGUUUAAAUUCAUAACCUAGGUGCAUUAUUGACACUCCUUAUGAUGUGUAUUUUUUUCAUUGUAUCUGACUUUUGACUUUGAAUUUUCUGUCUUAUGAUCUAAUUCGGUUUACUCUGAAAACAGAUAUUGGCAAAAAAAAAUUGACAUUUUUCGUCCCAUGUAAGGGAACCAAUAAUUUUGCGUGCUGACGGAAGGUCGAGACAUCCGUUUAAUAAUACUGGAAGACGGUUCAACCCAGGAUCUAUGAAAGUUGUAACUUGGUUUACGAGGUGGACAUAAAAUUUCAGAAAUAGAACCAGAUCUAGGAUUAUAGAUUUUAAAACUGUAUAAAUGACAUUAUUUGAAUGUAAUUGAUGAAUUGAAUAAAAAAUAUAUAGAACGUUA